rnacentral:rRNA from 1 species
UACAGAGGGUGCAAGCGUUGUUCGGAAUUAUUGGGCGUAAAGCGCGUGUAGGCGGCUUUGCAAGUCGGGUGUGAAAGCCCUCAGCUUAACUGAGGAAGUGCGCCCCGAAAACUGCAGAGCUUGAAUACCGGAGAGGAUGGCGGAAUUCCCCCAAGUAGAGGUGAAAAUUCGUAGAUAUGGGGGAGGAACACCGGUGGCGAAGGCGGCCAUCUGGACGGCUAUUGACGCUGAGACGCGAAAAGCGUGGGGGAGCAAACAGG